rnacentral:rRNA from 1 species
GACGAACGCUGGCGGCGUGCCUAAUACAUGCAAGUCGAACGCAGUGGGGACGGGUGAGUAACACGUGGGUAACCUCCCAUCAGAGGGGAUAACACUUGGAAACAGGUGCUAAACCGAUACUGAUGGAUGGACCCGCGUUGCAUGAGCUAGUUGGUGAGGUAACGGCUAACCAGGGCCACGAUGCAUAGCCGACCUGAGAGGGUGAUCAGCCAGACGAGGACGAAGACACGGCCCAGACUCCUACGGGAGGCAGCAGUAGGGAAUCUUCGGCAAUGGACGAAAGUCUGACCGAGCGACGCCGCGUGAGUGAAGAAGGUUUUCGGAUCGUAAAACUCUGUUGUUAGGGAAGCGGUAUCUAACCAGAAAGCCACGGCUAACUAGGAGCCAGGAGCGGGGGUAAGAC